GUUUGCUUUUAUAUCAUGCUUCAGUCUUUUUUUUUUUUCUUUCUGACCUAUUUACCUUUUGAACUUCUUUGGCCUAAAGUCGAAAAGACCAAUUAUCAGGAAUUGUGGGGUUCUUGAUUUCUCUCUGUAGAUUAUACGCAUAUAUCUACAUAUAUGUAUACCCUCAGAGAGACACAUGUAUGUUCAGAUAAAUACACACAUACUGUGAAAUAAAGGCAUGGACAAUUUUUUUUUUUUUUUGCUCUUUUUUGAGAGUGCGGUAUACCUGCUGCAUAUGGAAGUUCCCAAGCUAGGGGUCGAAUGAGAGCUACAGCUGCCUGCUUUUGCCACAGCCACAGCAACACAGCAUCCGAGCAGUGUCUGCAGCGUACACCACAGCUCACGGCAACACUGAAUCCUUAACCCAGUGAGUGAGGCCAGGCAUCGAACCUGCAUCCCCAUGGGUAGUAGUCAGGGUCAUUACCACUGAGCCACUACGGGAACUCCUGGGCAGGGACAAUUGAUUAAUAUUUGUUCCCAUUUCUUCUAGAAGCCACUGGUAUUGAUUCUGAAAAAGCUUGUAAGAAAGAUCACAGUGAAGUCACUGUUACUGAUUCCAAAAAAGUUUGUCAGAAAGAUGAAAGCAAUUCACUGCAGCUACAGGUCAUGAACACCUCUGCCUACUACACCUACCUCCUCCUCCUCCUCAAGAGUUCCCUCUACUUCGCCAUCAUCAUCUGCUAUUUAGGAGAACAGUCUGCAGCAGUGGGAAGACCUCCUGAUAGAUGAUGCCACCAAGGGCUCAACUUCGCUUCAGCAUCAUUGUCUCUACAAGUGUCUGCUGAGGAUCUAGCUGGGCUUCCUUUCUGGGUUUGGCUUCUUUCAGAGAAUAUGUACAUCUUUGUAUUAUAUCAUUAUAGUGUAAGGAUUUUUCAAUCCAAUGGCCAAACAGAACACUGUACUGUUUAACAAGGAAUCCUGCCAUGACUCAGGGCAGGGCUGAGGGCUGGUCCACGAGAGCCUUUCCCACCACUGUCCCUCAGUGUCAGCAGCUCCUCCAGCCACUAAAUCUUUCACCUCCUGAGCACACACAGCACAGCACACGGUUCCUCGUCUCCUCCCUCAGGGCUUCCACCAGACCACGGCCCUGAGCUUCCCUGUACACACCGUGGAGCCCCAGCUUUGCUGCUUGAAUUCUGUCCUUUGAUUUUUCAUGAUAGGCACAAUCAAUUAAAAAGAUAUCCAACCUCC
rnacentral:lncRNA from 1 species